GUGUGAGCGUGACGGGGCGGGAGAAGAAGUGAAGCGUAAACAAACAUGGCUGCCGUGCGGCGUUAGCUCCGAACAGAACCGACCUUUUUCCCCCAAAGCUUCGCCUUAAAGCGGACGGAGCCUCCGAAACAUGGCGGAGGUGAAGCUGGAGGAGGAGCGGGAGCUGAUGGAGGUGAUGGAGGUGAAGGAUGAAGAUCACAGUUUGGUCGGGGAGUUCAAAGAGGAGCCGGACGGCGGAGGUUUCCAGAGUCUGUUCCACAUGAAGGAAGAACCGGAGGAAGUGAGGAUCAAACCGGAGCUCCGCGAGGACUGUCCGUACGUCCGCGUCGUGGUGAAGAGCGAGGAUGAAGCCGAGGACGGCGACGGCGCAGGCUCAGACAAACCUCUGGAGAGCGAAGAACAGAGCGAGCGUUCCUCCGACACCGACGACUCCGAAGACUGGACCCUUUCGGCGUCACAAACGUUCGACGAGCGGCUGCAGGGACCGGCUCUCGGGAACACAGAGGGGAGCGACGCGGAGGCUCCGGCCAAACGCCACAUCUGCUCUCACUGCGGAAAAGAGUUUCCCUACAAGGCCUUUUUAACCCGACACAUGAAGACUCACACCGGAGAGAAACCUUUCAGGUAGGGAUGUCAAGAUGAACCGGUUUUACGAUUACCACGAUUAUAAAAGGACGCGGUAGGUUUUCCGUAAGAAUUUCAGAAGCCACGGUUUACCGCGGAA
rnacentral:lncRNA from 1 species